UUCUUCCUCUGCUUUUGUUUUUCUCGUCGAAGCCGGCGCUCCCUGGCGGAGAGGAAGAAGGAAGAGAGAAAAGAAGCAGAGGAGAUCGAUUCAGUCCGGCCUUAUCUCCCAUGGCGUCGCCGAAGGAACGCGAGAGCUUCGUCUACACUGCCAAGCUCGCCGAGCAGGCCGAGCGCUACGAUGAUAUGGUGGAGGUGAUGAAGAAGGCGGCGAAGCUCGACGUCGAGCUCACCGUGGAGGAGCGGAACCUGCUGUCGGUGGGAUACAAGAACGUGAUUGGCGCGCGGCGGGCCGCGUGGAGGGUGUUCAACUCGAUUGCGCAGAAGGAGGAGGCUAGGGGGAACGAGCAGCACGCGAAGAUGAUAAAGGAGUACAGGCUGAAGGUGGAGUCGGAGCUCUCUGACAUCUGCAGCGACAUCAUGACUGUGAUCGACGAGCAUCUCAUUCCGUCUUCGACGGCUGCGGAACCGUUGGUCUUCUACAACAAGAUGAAGGGAGAUUAUUACCGCUACCUGGCAGAAUUCAAGACUGGAAACGAAAAAAAGGAUGUUGCAGAUCAGUCCCUGAAAGCGUAUGAGGCAGCUACAAGUACAGCUGAGUCUGAAUUGUCUCCUACACAUCCAAUUCGACUGGGUUUGGCAUUGAACUUCUCUGUGUUCUACUAUGAGAUCUUGAACUCGCCAGAAAGGGCUUGCCAUCUUGCUAAGCAAGCUUUUGAUGAAGCGAUUUCUGAGUUGGAUACAUUGAGUGAGGAAUCAUACAAAGAUAGCACACUGAUUAUGCAACUUCUGAGGGAUAACCUCACAUUGUGGACCAAUGACAUCCCUGAGGAUAGUGGUAAUAUUAAGUAUAUAAUCAGGAUUUAUGCACAUGCCAUGUUAAAUAAUGUUGCAUUAUAGAAUUCAUGUUAUGUUAUUGUGCUAUUUCAUGGCAUAUUUGCAUGUAAACUAUAAAUAAGCUUCAGGCACUAAAAGUGAUUGCCUAUGGUCUUUUAUAUAUGUGAGAUUCAUACCAUAUGCUACUUCAUUUUAAUUUUCACUGGAGAAAAGAACUAGGGAUAAUUCUAUAUAUUUGAUAAUCCUUCACUCUUAUUUCUUUCGGAAUGUGUUCAAUAUUGACUGAGAAUUGAGAAAGUAGUGUCAUCAGGAAGUUUUAUUUUAUGCAUAGAGAAAUUAUUUGGAAGUACCCAACCUAGCAAUCAACAAAACCCUUAGAGCGAAAUCCCUUAGAGUGUUUUUUCUAUUAUCAGAACAUGGACAGAAAUAAUGGCAAUAGCAGCAACGGGUUCUAAAGUUCCAACUCCAGUCUUCUAUGUUCAUUUACUUGGUGAAAUUGAGUACAAUAAUAGCAUGCAUUUUAGGUUGCAAUUUAUUUUAACUAGAGGUGAAUAUCCAAAACCUAAAGUUGAAAAAUAAGAUUGAAAGACACCGAAUUAACUAUAUAAAUUCAGUUUAUCAAUUCAAUAUGGGUUUGAAAAUAGAGAAAUUUCAGGUUCAUUUGGGUACGGUUUGGAGGCUCAUUAGAUUAGUCUGAAAAUUUUCAAAUUAUUUUGGUUUGGUUCAAUUUGAAAUUUUUCUAGUGGUUUAAUAUAACAAACAUGGCCAGCCUUAUAGCACACUGUUUUAUGAGUUGAGCAAUACUGUUUUCUUUGGCUUUUUCAUGUCAAUAAUUUAAUAGUGACUUAGUCGGGAGGUUGAACCUAAUCUUUACCUUAGGAAACAAUAAAAGAUGACUUAUGUAUGAUGCCUACUUUCUUAUACAAUCUAGGAACCCAUGAAAUUUCAGUUCAUUCUAGGCCACUCAACUCUCAACCCUUAUGUGUAAUAUAAUUGUUGUUUGCUAAAACAAAACAAUUCCUUCUCUUAUGCUUGAGCUAAUGAAGAAUAAUGUCUUUUCUUGCUUUGUGAUUGCUGUUUUGAUUGGCCACAGCAGAUGAUCCUGCAAAGGGUGGAGCUGGUGAAGAUGCUCAGUGAAUUUUACCAGCUGUAGGACAAGGACGACCAGGUAAAGAAUGUUGUGAAAGAACAAUAUGGCAUGUGGGCUGGUGAUAGAUUAUUUCAAAUAGUAUUUGUCUACUGGAGUUGCAUCACCUUUGAGUUUACAUCUGUCGGAUGGCUUGAUAUUGACAAUGUCAUGUUUCUAGUAAGAUAUAUAUGGACAUUAGAGUGGCUCUAAUUCCAAUGUUCUGAAGUCCGUACUACUAGGCGUUGAGAAUUUUUGGUCUGUUUGAGAGUUUUUCAUGUUUACAUUUUAGUUCCUCAUACGUUUGCAACUAUUGAGCUUUUAUAAUUAUGCAAUUGGAGAAGUGUUAGGGAUAA